GACGAACGCUGGCGGCGUGCCUAAUACAUGCAAGUAGAACGCUGAGGAGAGGAGCUUGCUCUUCUUGGAUGAGUUGCGAACGGGUGAGUAACGCGUAGGUAACCUGCCUUGUAGCGGGGGAUAACUAUUGGAAACGAUAGCUAAUACCGCAUAACAAUGGAUGACACAUGUCAUUUAUUUGAAAGGGGCAAUUGCUCCACUACAAGAUGGACCUGCGUUGUAUUAGCUAGUAGGUGAGGUAAUGGCUCACCUAGGCGACGAUACAUAGCCGACCUGAGAGGGUGAUCGGCCACACUGGGACUGAGACACGGCCCAGACUCCUACGGGAGGCAGCAGUAGGGAAUCUUCGGCAAUGGGGGCAACCCUGACCGAGCAACGCCGCGUGAGUGAAGAAGGUUUUCGGAUCGUAAAGCUCUGUUGUAAGUCAAGAACGGGUGUGAGAGUGGAAAGUUCACACUGUGACGGUAGCUUACCAGAAAGGGACGGCUAACUACGUGCCAGCAGCCGCGGUAAUACGUAGGUCCCGAGCGUUGUCCGGAUUUAUUGGGCGUAAAGCGAGCGCAGGCGGUUUGAUAAGUCUGAAGUUAAAGGCUGUGGCUCAACCAUAGUUCGCUUUGGAAACUGUCAAACUUGAGUGCAGAAGGGGAGAGUGGAAUUCCAUGUGUAGCGGUGAAAUGCGUAGAUAUAUGGAGGAACACCGGUGGCGAAAGCGGCUCUCUGGUCUGUAACUGACGCUGAGGCUCGAAAGCGUGGGGAGCGAACAGGAUUAGAUACCCUGGUAGUCCACGCCGUAAACGAUGAGUGCUAGGUGUUGGAUCCUUUCCGGGAUUCAGUGCCGCAGCUAACGCAUUAAGCACUCCGCCUGGGGAGUACGACCGCAAGGUUGAAACUCAAAGGAAUUGACGGGGGCCCGCACAAGCGGUGGAGCAUGUGGUUUAAUUCGAAGCAACGCGAAGAACCUUACCAGGUCUUGACAUCCCGAUGCUAUUUCUAGAGAUAGAAAGUUACUUCGGUACAUCGGUGACAGGUGGUGCAUGGUUGUCGUCAGCUCGUGUCGUGAGAUGUUGGGUUAAGUCCCGCAACGAGCGCAACCCCUAUUGUUAGUUGCCAUCAUUCAGUUGGGCACUCUAGCGAGACUGCCGGUAAUAAACCGGAGGAAGGUGGGGAUGACGUCAAAUCAUCAUGCCCCUUAUGACCUGGGCUACACACGUGCUACAAUGGUUGGUACAACGAGUUGCGAGUCGGUGACGGCGAGCUAAUCUCUUAAAGCCAAUCUCAGUUCGGAUUGUAGGCUGCAACUCGCCUACAUGAAGUCGGAAUCGCUAGUAAUCGCGGAUCAGCACGCCGCGGUGAAUACGUUCCCGGGCCU
rnacentral:rRNA from 1 species